rnacentral:lncRNA from 1 species
GGAAAGAAUGAAAUGCAUUAUUGACUCUAGAUUUGAGGAAUUGGCUAAAGCUGUCAAUGUGGCAGAGUCGGUUCGUGCUUUUAGCGAGAUCACUGAUGAGAAGAUCAACUUCCAAGCAUACUUAAACAGACCUUCUACAGGUGGUGGUGUCUGGUUCAUCGAGCCUAACGCUAGGAAACCUGGUUUUAUUGCCGGAAACAAAACGUCACCUGAAGAAAGCGACUUCCAAAGUUGUCUAACGGCGUACUUUGGUCCUGAAGUUAGCCAAAUCAGAGAUGCAGUUGAUCACCGCUGCCAGAAUGUUUUAGAAGACCUCCUAAGCUUCUUUGAUUCAGAAAAGGCAGGUCCGAGGUUAAAGGAUCUUGCUCCAUACGUGCAGAAUAAAUGUUAUGACAGUGUCUCAGCAAUUCUCGCAGAUGUGGAUAAGGAACUCGAAUCUCUCUGUGCUGCCAUGAAGAAAGGGAACAACGACAGCGAAGCAAUUCCACCUGCUAUAAUAAUUGAGAAAUCUCUUUUUAUGGGACGCCUCUUGUUUGCAUUGCUGAACCACUCGAAACACGUUCCCUUGAUUCUCGGUUCUCCAAGAUUGUGGUGUAGAGAAACUAUGAAUGCAGUUUCUGAUAAGUUGUCAUCCUUGUUGAGGCAACCAAGAUUUGGCUCGAAUACUCCAGGUGCUGCUGACAGCCCGGGAAAGCAGUUGCAUGCCGAUCUUAGGAAGCAGAGUUCGUUAGCUGUUGCCGCGCUACUUAAGGCAGAUGAGAAGACAAGUCCGAAAUUUGAAGAGCUUAAUAAAACUAUGCGUGAUCUGUGCAUUAAGGCUCAUACAUUGUGGAUACAGUGGUUAUCGGAAGAGCUCUCCGCUAUUUUCUUGCGUGAUCUUACGAUUGACGAUGGACUGUCUGCUACAACUCCUUUAAGGGUAACUAAAAACGAUCCUUAUCCUUUCUUCUUAGCUGUUUUGCAUUGAUAUUAGAUAUUCUGAAAAAUGUACAUAGUUAGUUAGUUGUUCACUCUUGUUUGUUUUUGGAAAUUACUGACUCUUUGAAGUGAUAAUGCAGGGGUGGGAAGAGACAAUCANNNNNNNNNNNNNNNNNNNNNNNNNNNNNNNNNNNNNNNNNNNNNNNNNNNNNNNNNNNNNNNNNNNNNNNNNNNNNNNNNNNNNNNNNNNNNNNNNNNNAAAAGCAACCCGGUAUGAUAAGAAAAAAAUCUCUUAAAAGGCAUAAUAUUGAAUAGAGAUACUUACUAGAGAGUAUAUCAGUAAUUUGAGGAGGAUCAGAUUUCAAAUCGUCAAAAACCUUCUCCCCAGCUUCAGUGAUAACAUGUUCUAGCCGUUGCUUUGCAACCUAGCCAUUAAGUAAACAUAAUCAAUUUUGAAGCUCAACCAAAGAUGCAGAAUGGAGGAGCCUUCUAAUACACCAUACACCUAACACAAAACAAUCCUCUUCCACGUUGCGUUCUAGGUAAGAAAGCAAGAAGCUUUACAUACCUCCACGUUUGGUUGUUUGAUAUCUGAGGCAUUAAACAAUCUGAGCGUAAACUUCUUCAGCCGAUAAAGCUGAUCGCCUGAGGUCCUAACAGGAACUGCACAAGAAAUCAAAACCUCGGUUUAAACGGUUGGUGAAGUAAACCUUUGAAAACGAAUAAAAGAAUCAAAGUCUAUCAUCACCAUCGAUAUUACUGAAGUUGCAGAAUGGCUUCAGCGUUUCCACAAAGGAUAGUCCAUUCUUGAGGAAAGUCUCUUCAACAAGAGGCGUGCAGAGUACCAUGACAACUGGACUGAUCUCUUCCAAGAGCAUUUCCCAAGCGAUGCGUUCACCGGCUCCACCAUUCUCUCAACGAAUUCUCUUCACUUUGUAAGUCAAAAAUUCACUCCAAUCCGAUGUCGGAUCGGGUAGAUUUCGGAGACGGUGGGAAGCAAUACUUAGAGAUCUCCUCUCUUCGAGCCAAUCAGAGCUAAAACGCCGUCGUCGGCAGCCGCCGGAGUUGAUGGAGAUAGAUAGGUUUGAAGAUCUAUGUAAAUGACGGAAUGUGAAAUACGGGGAGAUGCAACGUUUAUGAUACAGUAAAACGAAAUACCGUAUCAGUUUACGGUGGAAAUCACCGAGAUGGAGGGAUCGUGAUCGGCGAAGAGAUGCAGGCAAAAGUCUAUUGGAGAAGAAGAACAAUAACAAUUUCAUCCAUUAAUUUAUUUAUUUAAUUUAUCUAAUUGCCCCUUUAUUAUGGUAAACAUUACAAUAGUCCCCAGAUUUAAUGAUCCUUGCUAUGACUUACCACAAAGACCGGUUAGCUUCCGAUUAGAAUUCUUCUACUGCGAAACCAAACCGGGGGGUAAAUAUGUAAUUUGUUAAAACGCUUAAUCUCUCGUCGUGUUCGUUCCACAGCAAUGGCAGAAACUCAGUGCACAGAAACUACAAAACUAGAUCUUGAUUCCGGGAAUCUACUUCAGAAUCCGAGCAAAGCAUCUCUAGAUCCGAUCAGAUCCGCUCCGUUUCUCUCCUCCUUCAACUCAGUGGAAUGCAUUGCUAGAAUCUAGAGAGAACACGCCGGAGAAAAACAAACCAUGAGAAUGUCAUCGGCUUCUGCCGCCGUUUCGCUCGGAAGCAGCGGUCAAAGAGACGCUGAGUCCCUCCUCCGCACCAAACCGAUGUCGGAGAUCCGUAGCGUUGAGUCGGCGACUAGGAAGAACAUCGAGGACAAGAAGGAGGAGCUCCGGCAACUCGUCGGGACUCGGUACCGAGAUCUAAUCGACUCGGCUGACUCGAUCGUUCACAUGAAGUCGCUCUGCGAGUCGAUCUCGGCGAACAUCAGCUCGAUCCACGGCAACAUUCGAUCGCUCUCCUCCUCGUCGGAAGCGAAAACCCCGCGCUCGCUAUCACUGACCGGCCCGAGUCAAUGUGUAUGGGAUCGCGUGUCGGGUCAAGUAUCUGGUGGAUACCGGAGAGAAUAUAUGGGGCUGCCUCGACGAGUCCAUGUUUCUAGAAGCUGCUGGGAGGUACAUGCGUGCUCAGCACGUGCAGCAGAGACUGUUAAGUUGGAGGAGGUGGAUCAGAGUAAACUGUUGGCUAAUUUCCGUUGCUUGAGCAUCAGUGGCAGAUAGUGGAGGGCUUCAAGGCUCAGAUUUCUCAGAGGAGCCACGAACGGCUUCUUGAUCCGGGUUUGGGGUUGGGGGAUUACGCGUGGACGCGUUAACUGCUGUAGCAGUGGUUGAUGAGCUUGAUCCGAAGGAGGUUCUUGAGUUGUUUCUCGACUCGAGGAAGACUUGGGUUCUGCCAAAAGUUGAAUGCUUGUAGUGGUGAUGAUGCUGGGAGUGUGUUUCGGUGUUUGUGAUGUGUUGAGUGUGGUUCAGGUUACUGUGGGACAAGUUGGUGAGCUUUUUUUGCAAGCGUUGACUGAUAUGCCUCUGUUUUAUAAGACGAUUUUGAGUACACCUCCGGCUUCUCAGCUGUUUGGUGGGAUUCCGAAUCCGAAAGAGGAGGUUGCGUUGUGGAAAUUGUUUAGAGAUAAUUUGGAAUCUGUUAUGGUUAUUUUUGAGAAAGUUGAUAUUUCUAAGGCGUGUCUGGCAUGGUUGAGGGAAUGCGGUGGACAUAUUGUUGGUAAGGUUAGUGGGAAGCGUUUGAUUGAAGCUAUUGUUACUGGUGCAGAGCUUGGAUCAGCGGAAAAGUUGAUAAGGGAGACCAUGGAUAGUAAAGAGGUAUUGAGUGGUAGUUUAGAUUGGCUUAAAAGUGUUUUUGGGUCUGAGAUAGAGCUACCUUGGAAUAGAAUCCGGGAGCUUGUUCUGGACGACGAUUUGAACCUGUGGGAUGAAAUAUUUGAGGAGGCCUUUGUGGAAAGAAUGAAAUGCAUUAUUGACUCUAGAUUUGAGGAAUUGGCUAAAGCUGUCAAUGUGGCAGAGUCGGUUCGUGCUUUUAGCGAGAUCACUGAUGAGAAGAUCAACUUCCAAGCAUACUUAAACAGACCUUCUACAGGUGGUGGUGUCUGGUUCAUCGAGCCUAACGCUAGGAAACCUGGUUUUAUUGCCGGAAACAAAACGUCACCUGAAGAAAGCGACUUCCAAAGUUGUCUAACGGCGUACUUUGGUCCUGAAGUUAGCCAAAUCAGAGAUGCAGUUGAUCACCGCUGCCAGAAUGUUUUAGAAGACCUCCUAAGCUUCUUUGAUUCAGAAAAGGCAGGUCCGAGGUUAAAGGAUCUUGCUCCAUACGUGCAGAAUAAAUGUUAUGACAGUGUCUCAGCAAUUCUCGCAGAUGUGGAUAAGGAACUCGAAUCUCUCUGUGCUGCCAUGAAGAAAG